GACGAAGGGGGCUAGCGUUGUUCGGAAUUACUGGGCGUAAAGCGCGUGUAGGCGGUUGUUCAAGUCCGCUGUGAAAUCUCGAGGCUCAACUUCGAGCUGUCGGCGGAAACCAUCUGGCUAGAGUCCGGAAGAGGAGAGUGGAAUUCCUGGUGUAGCGGUGAAAUGCGCAGAUAUCAGGAAGAACACCCGUGGCGAAGGCGGCUCUCUGGGACGGUACUGACGCUGAGACGCGAAAGCGUGGGGAGCGAACAGG
rnacentral:rRNA from 1 species